UACAGAGGUCUCGAGCGUUAGGCGGAAUCACUGGGCUUAAAGCGUGUGUAGGCGGAUCGGUAAGUACCUUGUGAAAUCCCACAGCUUAACUGUGGAACUGCUUGGUAUACUGCCAGUCUUGAGCCAGCUAGGGGCUACCGGAACAAAUGGUGGAGCGGUGAAAUGCGUAGAUAUCAUUGGAACGCCAAUGGUGAAAACAGGUAGCUGGGGCUGUGCUGACGCUGAGACACGAAAGCCGGAGGGCAAACGGG
rnacentral:rRNA from 1 species